rnacentral:rRNA from 1 species
AUUGAACGCUGGCGGCAGGCCUAACACAUGCAAGUCGAGCGGCAGCGGGAAAGUAGCUUGCUACUUUUGCCGGCGAGCGGCGGACGGGUGAGUAAUGCCUGGGGAUCUGCCCAGUCGAGGGGGAUAACUACUGGAAACGGUAGCUAAUACCGCAUUCGCCCUACGGGGGAAAGCAGGGGACCUUCGGGCCUUGCGCGAUUGGAUGAAACCGGGUGGGAUUAGCUAGUUGGUGAGGUAAUGGCCCACCAAGGCGACGAUCCCUAGCUGGGCUGAGAGGAUGAUCAGCCACACUGGAACUGAGACACGGUCCAGACUCCUACGGGAGGCAGCAGUGGGGAAUAUUGCACAAUGGGGGAAACCCUGAUGCAGCCAUGCCGCGUGUGUGAAGAAGGCCUUCGGGUUGUAAAGCACUUUCAGCGAGGAGGAAAGGUUGGUAGCUAAUAACUGCCAGCUGUGACGUUACUCGCAGAAGAAGCACCGGCUAACUCCGUGCCAGCCGCCGCCGUAAAAC